GUGCUCACCUUAGCUACACAUAUACUAAAUUGGAAUGUUACAGAGAUUAGUCUGGCCUCUGCACAAAGAUGAGAUGUAAAUUCAUGAAGUGUUCCAUAUUUUU
ensembl:snRNA U6 U6 spliceosomal RNA